GACGAACGCUGGCGGCGUGCUUAACACAUGCAAGUCGAACGGAAAGGCCCUGCUUGCAGGGUACUCGAGUGGCGAACGGGUGAGUAACACGUGGGUGAUCUGCCCUGCACUUCGGGAUAAGCCUGGGAAACUGGGUCUAAUACCGGAUAGGAGCCAUUUUUAGUGUGAUGGUUGGAAAGUUUUUUCGGUGUAGGAUGAGCUCGCGGCCUAUCAGCUUGUUGGUGGGGUAAUGGCCUACCAAGGCGGCGACGGGUAGCCGGCCUGAGAGGGUGGACGGCCACAGUGGGACUGAGAUACGGCCCAGACUCCUACGGGAGGCAGCAGUGGGGAAUAUUGCACAAUGGGCGCAAGCCUGAUGCAGCGACGCCGCGGGGGGGAUGACGGCCUUCGGGUUGUAAACUCCUUUCGCUAGGGACGAAGCUUUUUGUGACGGUACCUAGAGAAGAAGCACCGGCUAACUACGUG
rnacentral:rRNA from 1 species